rnacentral:lncRNA from 1 species
AGUAUUAUAUUAAAUGGUUAAUUUUAUACAUAUCCCUACAAAUAUAGUGAAUAAUAANUUACUAUAGGGUUAAUUUUAUACAUAUCCCUACAAAUAUAGUGAAUAAUAAAUAUAUUUCUAAAAAGUUCAACUUUCAUAUAUUAUUCCUAUAAAAAUUCUGAUGUUUUCAAAUGUGUUCCUGUCAUUAGAAUCCGUUAGAAAAAAUUAGUUAAAUUAACCCUAUAGUAAAUGAUA